rnacentral:tRNA from 1 species
GGGGCUGUAGCUCUGUGGUUGAGCACUUGCCUUGCAUGUGUGAGGCAUGGGUUCAAUCCUCAGCACCA